rnacentral:lncRNA from 1 species
UUCAAAGGAAAGAGAGUUAUUAUCCCCACCCAAUCUGUGCAGUCCAUGUUAUAUUCGAAGUCAUCACAGCCAGGUGAGUAUAAGAUUCUAUGCAUUCUUGGAUGCCGCCAUGCUUUUACUGACUUUUUCUUUUUCUUGGGCCACAUCACAAGUGCAAGCUGGUGGGUUAUCUCAAAUCUGGUCGAAGAGGUUAUUGUUCAUGAGAUGGUAAUUAUUAGAGGUUUUAGUUUGAGGUUUUGGUCAAGUGGAGAAGGCUAGAGAGCUCAAUGUCUGAGGAAGAUGCCUUGAGUGGGAAAGUAGGGAUCCAGCGUAGAUGGCGAUGUUGGGACAAUUGGGGGCGAGGGAUAUCUAUGUAUUGUUAGUUUAGGAGGG